UACGUAGGGAGCAAGCGUUGUCCGGAAUCAUUGGGCGUAAAGCGCGCGUAGGCGGCCCGAUAAGUCCGCUGUAAAAGUCAACGGCUCAACUGUUGAAAGCCGGUGGAUACUGUCGGGCUAGAGUACGGAAGAGGCAAGUGGAAUUCCUGGUGUAGCGGUGGAAUGCGCAGAUAUCAGGAGGAACACCAAUGGCGAAAGCAAGUAUCUGGACUAUUACUGACGCUAAGCUGCGAAAGCUAGGGGAGCAAACAGG
rnacentral:rRNA from 1 species